GAUGAACGCUGGCGGCGUGCCUAAUACAUGCAAGUCGAGCGAACAGACGAGGAGCUUGCUCCUCUGACGUUAGCGGCGGACGGGUGAGUAACACGUGGAUAACCUACCUAUAAGACUGGGAUAACUUCGGGAAACCGGAGCUAAUACCGGAUAAUAUAUUGAACCGCAUGGUUCAAUAGUGAAAGACGGUUUUGCUGUCACUUAUAGAUGGAUCCGCGCCGCAUUAGCUAGUUGGUAAGGUAACGGCUUACCAAGGCGACGAUGCGUAGCCGACCUGAGAGGGGGGAUCGCCACCCCUGAACCUGAGCACGGGCCCGGCUCCUAAGGGAGGGAGGAGGAGGGGAACCUCCGGCAUUGGCCGAAGCCUUAAGGGGGCACGCCGCGGGAGGUAAGGAGGGUUUCCGAUCCUUAAACCCUUUUUUUAAGGAAGAACAAAAUUUUAAAUUACUAUUCACGGUUUUACGGUACCUAAUCAGGAAACCACGGCUAACUUCCUU
rnacentral:rRNA from 1 species